AACGAACGCUGGCGGCAGGCUUAACACAUGCAAGUCGAACGCCCGUAGCAAUACGGGAGUGGCAGACGGGUGAGUAACACGUGGGGAUCUACCCGAUGGUACGGAAUAAUUCCGGGAAACUGGGACUAAUACCGUAUGAGCCCGCAAGGGGAAAGAUUUAUCGCCAUCGGAUGAACCCGCGUCAGAUUAGCUAGUUGGCGGGGUAAAGGCCCACCAAGGCGACGAUCUGUAGCUGGUCUGAGAGGAUGAUCAGCCACACUGGGACUGAGACACGGCCCAGACUCCUACGGGAGGCAGCAGUGGGGAAUAUUGGACAAUGGGCGCAAGCCUGAUCCAGCCAUGCCGCGUGAGUGAUGAAGGCCUUAGGGUUGUAAAGCUCUUUCGCCGACGAAGAUAAUGACGGUAGUCGGAGAAGAAGCCCCGGCUAACUUCGUGCCAGCCGCCGCCGUAACAC
rnacentral:rRNA from 1 species